GUCCACGCCCUAAACGAUGAAUGCUAGGUGUGGGGAGUCAUCUUCCGUGCCGCAGCUAACGCAAUAAGCAUUCCACCUGGGGAGUACGGCCGCAAGGUUGAAACUCAAAGGAAUUGACGGGAGCCCGCACAAGCAGUGGAGUAUGUGGUUUAAUUCGACGCAACGCGAAAAACCUUACCGGGGAUUGACAUCUGCGGAAGGCGACGUAACGGUCGCUGUGCCCCUUCGGGGAACCGCAAGACAGGUGGUGCAUGGUUGUCGU
rnacentral:rRNA from 1 species